GAUGAACGCUGGCGGCGUGCCUAAUACAUGCAAGUCGAGCGAACGGACGAGAAGCUUGCUUCUCUGAUGUUAGCGGCGGACGGGUGAGUAACACGUGGAUAACCUACCUAUAAGACUGGGAUAACUUCGGGAAACCGUAGCUAAUACCGGAUAAUAUUUUGAACCGCAUGGUUCAAAAGUGAAAGACGGUCUUGCUGUCACUUAUAGAUGGAUCCGCGCUGCAUUAGCUAGUUGGUAAGGUAACGGCUUACCAAGGCAACGAUGCAUAGCCGACCUGAGAGGGUGAUCGGCCACACUGGAACUGAGACACGGUCCAGACUCCUACGGGAGGCAGCAGUAGGGAAUCUUCCGCAAUGGGCGAAAGCCUGACGGAGCAACGCCGCGUGAGUGAUGAAGGUCUUCGGAUCGUAAAACUCUGUUAUUAGGGAAGAACGUAUGUGUAAGUAACUGUGCACAUCUUGACGGUACCUAAUCAGAAAGCCACGGCUAACUACGCG
rnacentral:rRNA from 1 species